CAGCGAAGCAGUUGGACGAGAUUGAAACAGUGAUUCCACUAAUGGAAGUUCUUAACCUGAUUCCUGAUCCUCACAAAGAUGU
rnacentral:sRNA from 1 species